UUUCUGCAGUAUAGUAUUGGAGAGCACAGUGGGCACAGUAUUGGGCGUGGCAGGAUGGGGUGUUGAGAAGGUGGGAGGAUGAUGGAAAAGUAGGAAAACAAGAUGUCUUUUUGUCAAACUCUACAGACUCGGCUGAAAGAAAUCAUCAUGGUGGUCUGGUCUGAAUGGAUAAGAUGAGGAAAGAGAACAUCUACAUCAGAGGAGACCCCACUGGAUAUAAGAGCCCAAAGCAGUUAUUAAGGCUGAAUGAAUGCAAGAAUGAAGGCGCGAUGCAAGUGACCUCGGAGAGCUGACAAUAACGUUUUCUUAGCAUCAUUGAGAAACAAGAUAAGGGGACAGUAUUAUAGAAGAGUGAAGGAAGGAAAAGUAAAAUUAUUCUUUACGAUUAGCAAAUUUAAUGAACAAUGCAAUGAAGAAAAUGUGAUGAACUAAUUACACCCUGUCCCUUUAAAAUUGUGAAAAAAUAAAUAGAUAAAAGAUAUAAUGGUGAUUGACCUAUAUUGAUGUCAAGAUCAACUGUGAAUUACAUUGCAUUGUGAAAUGGAUCAGGGCAACAUAGACAUGGAGGACAUCCCUUUUUAUGGCUGCGUAGUUACAAAAUAUGGUUAGUUACACAGAUUUAGGUGCAUUAAGUUCAAACAUGAAAAGGCAGUAAUAUUUUAUCUCCAAUAAAUCUCCUGUUCACAAACAUUAGGGGUCAUGGUGUCAUCUGCCUUUGACAUUAGAUUAUGCCCUAUUGUUGACAUUUUGAAAAUGGCACCAGGUCACUUCUCACCAACUUGAUAAAAACCUUAUUAUGGUCAUGGUUCUUGCCAUUGAAAAAGCUAUCCCCAAAAUGUCACCAUGCCUCCAUAAAAAUCCCCUCUAUUGUUGGUGGACCAUACCCAUCUAACUGCAGGAGAGAGAGCCGGGUAAGAGAAAGCUGUGCCCAUUCCCUUCACUCAUUUUUGGUGCCCCAUUGGCCACAGACAUGGUAUAUUUGACAAUAUUCUGUAACAUCAAAACCCAGUUUCACACAAUAAACCUUGUAAGAGCAAGAUUUAAGGAAAUUCGAUAUUUUCUUAUUCACCAAAUGACAAAAUUACUUAUGGAGGUCAACCAAUUGGAAUUGUAUUUCACCAUAUUGGAUGACACCUGACUCAAAAAGUCAAUUAAACUGGCGGGUUCUUUCAUAGUCUGGAAGGGGAUGGUUGGUUUCAUUGGCCAGACGACUCGACACAAUCGCACCGUUUGUGUUCUGCUUUAUGCUAAUUAGACUAUAAAGUUGCCUUUAAAGGGGUUCUCUCAUUUCAAACAUUUGUGGUAUAUCACUUGUAUAUGCCACAAAUGUCAGAUAGGUGGGGGUUCCACCUCUGCCUGCAGAAUGGGGCCCCCAAAGUGAAGGAAGAGCGCACCACACAAGCAUGGCUAUCCUCCAUUCACCGCUAUGGGAGUUCCGACAAUAGCUGAGCACUGGCCUGAUUAUGGAGAUAGGAGCAGGUCCCAGAGGUGAUACCCGCACCUAUCUGACAUUUCCGGCAUAUCCUAGAGAUUUGCCACCCAUAUCUGAGAUGACAUAACCCCAUAAUAAACUGCACAGUGAUACAAAGUACAUAAAAGCUGUAAACAUAUGCACGUUUCUAUUUGUUUACCAUCAGUUUUGAAUUUGCUAUAUGUUAAUUGAUCAUAAGUAUUAAAUCUAAUUUUGCAUAUGAACGCGCACAGAAACGUCCAUUAUCUCCCAGAAUUAUUAAUGGAUUAUUUUUUUGUGAUGAAUAAUUAAUCUUUGGAAUAAUUUGUCUAUCUGUGAUCUUAAGAUUUAUUUGCAUAUCUAAUAUAUGAUUACUUUAGUUCCAUUCUCAUAGGAAAAAAACAUAAAGUCAAUA